UCCGGCUUAUCACCGGCGGUUUCUUUAGAGUGCCCAACUAAAUGAUGGCAACUAAAGACGAGGGUUGCGCUCGUUGCGGGACUUAACCCAACAUCUCGCGACACGAGCUGACGACAGCCAUGCAGCACCUGUGUCCAGGUUCCCUUUCGGGCACCCUCACAUCUCUGCGGGGUUCCUGGCAUGUCAAGGGUAGGUAAGGUUUUUCGCGUUGCAUCGAAUUAAUCCACAUAAUCCACCGCUUGUGCGGGUCCCCGUCAAUUCCUUUGAGUUUUAACCUUGCGGCCGUACUCCCCAGGCGGGGCGCUUAAUGCGUUAGCUACGGCACGGAUUCCGUGGAAGGAACCCACACCUAGCGCCCACCGUUUACGGCGUGGACUAC
rnacentral:misc_RNA from 1 species